AGCAGCCGCGGUAAUUCCAGCUCCAAUAGCGUAUAUUAAAGUUGUUGCAGUUAAAAAGCUCGUAGUUGAAUUUCGGGAUCAAUUUAUCGGUCGUGCCAAUGGUAUGAACUGGUACAAUUGGUUUCUCCCUUCUGACGAAGCAUGAUGUCAUUAAUUUGGUGUCGUGGGGAAUCAGGACUGUUACUUUGAAAAAAUUAGAGUGUUUAAAGCAAGCAUUAGCUUGAAUACAUUAGCAUGGAAUAAUGAAAUAGGACGUUUGAUCCUAUUUCGUUGGUUUCUAGGAUCGACGUAAUGAUUAAUAGGGAUAGUUGGGGGCAUUAGUAUUCAAUUGUCAGAGGUGAAAUUCUUGGAUUUAUUGAAGACUAACUACUAGCGAAAGCAUUUGCCAAGGAUGUUUUCAUUAAUCAAGAACGAAAGUUAGGGGAUCGAAGACGAUCAGAUACCGUCGUAGUCUUAACCUAUAAACUAUGCCGACUAGGGAUCGGAUGAUGUUAAUUUUUAAUGACUCAUUCGGCGUCCG
rnacentral:rRNA from 1 species